rnacentral:rRNA from 1 species
GCUCGGGCAACACCUUAUUGCUACUUGACCUAGCGGCGGACGGGUGAGUAAUGCUUAGGAAUCUGCCUAUUAGUGGGGGACAACAUCUCGAAAGGGAUGUAUAAUACCGCAUACGUCCUACGGGAGAAAGCAGGGGACCUUCGGGCCUUGCGCUAAUAGAUGAGCCUAAGUCGGAUUAGCUAGUUGGUGGGGUAAAGGCCUACCAAGGCGACGAUCUGUAGCGGGUCUGAGAGGAUGAUCCGCCACACUGGGACUGAGACACGGCCCAGACUCCUACGGGAGGCAGCAGUGGGGAAUAUUGGACAAUGGGGGGAACCCUGAUCCAGCCAUGCCGCGUGUGUGAAGAAGGCCUUUUGGUUGUAAAGCACUUUAAGCGAGGAGGAGGCUACCGAGAUUAAUACUCUUGGAUAGUGGACGUUACUCGCAGAAUAAGCACCGGCUAACUCUGUGCCAGCAGCCGCGGUAAUACAGAGGGUGCAAGCGUUAAUCGGAUUUACUGGGCGUAAAGCGCGCGUAGGUGGCCAAUUAAGUCAAAUGUGAAAUCCCCGAGCUUAACUUGGGAAUUGCAUUCGAUACUGGUUGGCUAGAGUAUGGGAGAGGAUGGUAGAAUUCCAGGUGUAGCGGUGAAAUGCGUAGAGAUCUGGAGGAAUACCGAUGGCGAAGGCAGCCAUCUGGCCUAAUACUGACACUGAGGUGCGAAAGCAUGGGGAGCAAACAGGAUUAGAUACCCUGGUAGUCCAUGCCGUAAACGAUGUCUACUAGCCGUUGGGGCCUUUGAGGCUUUAGUGGCGCAGCUAACGCGAUAAGUAGACCGCCUGGGGAGUACGGUCGCAAGACUAAAACUCAAAUGAAUUGACGGGGGCCCGCACAAGCGGUGGAGCAUGUGGUUUAAUUCGAUGCAACGCGAAAACCUUACCUGGUCUUGACAUAUAAGAACUUUCCAGAAUGGAUUGGUGCCUUCGGGAACUUACAUACAGGUGCUGCAUGGCUGUCGUCAGCUCG